rnacentral:rRNA from 1 species
CCUACGGGAGACAGCAGUGAGGAAUAUUGGUCAAUGGCCGAGAGGCUGAACCAGCCAAGUCGCGUGAGGGAAUACGGCCCUACGGGUUGUAAACCUCUUUUGUCGGGGAGCAAAGCGAGUCACGUGUGCCUCAUUGGGAGUACCCGAAGAAAAAGCAUUGGCUAACUCCGUGCAAGCAGCCGCGGUAAUACGGAGGAUGCGAGCGUUAUCCGGAUUUAUUGGGUUAAAAGGGUGAGCAGGAGGAGGUGCAAGUCAGCGGUCAAAUUGCGGGGCGCAACCCCGUACUGCCGUUGAAACUGCAUCCCUUGAGUGCGCGAGAAGUAUGCGGAAUGCGUGGUGUAGCGGUGAAAUGCAUAGAUAUCACGCAGAACUCCGAUUGCGAAGGCAGCAUACCGGCGCGCAACUGACGCUCAGGCACGAAAGCGUGGGUAUCGAACGGGAUUAGAUACCCUGGUAGUC